rnacentral:sRNA from 1 species
UAUUUGAGGCUGACUGGGGAGAAAGCUGCCUGGAGGAAGCUGCUGGGGUGCGGGGGGUUGAGGGAUUUGGCUCCCCGCCCUCUCCCCUAGCUGGCGGAGAAAUCGGGCUAGCUGGAAGGGCGCAGCUCUUCUCCAAGAGCUCAUUCCGGAGUCGGAGAGCUGUGAAAGCGGCCCCCGAGGCGGAGCCUCCCUCCCGCCCCAAGUCCCGCUGCCCCCGACCUGGGGGAGAGGGGCGGGCGCCGCGCUGCCUUCCCUCCGCGCCUGGGCCGCGUGGCUUGCGGCUUAUUUUCCCAGCUGGCAAGCUUCGCGCUGCAGACAAGGGAAUGCCUGUGGGAAGGCUGCACUGGUUUCCUGAGAUAAAUGGACAGGAAGCGCAUUACCUCCGCGCGCUGGCAAGCGGCUCCCAAAUGCUUUUUGCACCUGCCGUUUUGAGCGGUGAGAGCAGC